GAACACCUGCCUCUCAACUAUAUUGAUACAUACAGUAUAACAUCUUCUCUGUACUACUUAAGCUGAGUAUCUCUCUCCCUGUAGGCCCCCUCAGCCCCAGAGAAACAACCAGGACCCCCAACAGGACCAAGGAUCUACCCUGGGCCAGGCUCCUGAUACUGGGUAUACACAUCAGCAGCAUGGUGACACUAACAUCUACGAUACGAUCAAUCCCUCAGACAACAAUGAUAAUGAUGCUGCUGGUGCUUCUGCUGCUGGACCAAGUCAUGUGACUUACGCCCAGAUUCAACUGAACAAGUUGAACAAG